rnacentral:misc_RNA from 1 species
GGCCGGUCUAAAAGACGAGACAAAUUAAGAAGGACGUCAUACAAGUUUGAUCAAUCUGAAUGUCACAAUCAUCAUCAGGACAACAAACAUCACACGAGCUUGACUAGUCCAAAAGGCAUGAUCAAGGACAAACACAAGCAUUAUACGAGGUUGAUCAGUUCAAGAACCACGACUAGGCAUUACACGAGCUUGAUCAGUCCAAAAGGCGCGACCAAGACCUAGACAAGCACAUAAGUUUGAGGACCUAAAAUUGUAAAUACAAAGAGUUCCCAUAGUACUUGAGAUAUAGUACACCACAAAGGGUAUGGUUCAUUUUUUUUUCCUUAAAGAAAAGGAGAAAAAUAAGAAGGUAAUUUAUUAGUGUAUCACA